ACGGGGUGCAGCAGGCGCGAAUACUCCGCAAUGCGGGCAACCGCGACGGGGCUACCCCGAGUGCCGGGCGAAGAGCCCGGCUUUUGCCCGGUCUAAAAAGCCGGGAGAAUAAGCGGGGGGCAAGUCUGGUGUCAGCCGCCGCGGUAAUACCAGCUCCGCGAGUGGUCGGGGUGUUUACUGGGCUUAAAGCGCCCGUAGCCGGCCCGGCAAGUCGCUCCUGAAAUCCCCGGGCUCAACCCGGGGGCGGGGGGCGAUACUGCCGGGCUAGGGGGCGGGAGAGGCCGCCGGUACUCCGGGGGUAGGGGCGAAAUCCGUUAAUCCCCGGAGGACCACCAGUGGCGAAAGCGGGCGGCCAGAACGCGCCCGACGGUGAGGGGCGAAAGCCGGGGGAGCAAAGGGGAUUAGAUACCCCUGUAGUCCCGGCCGUAAACGAUGCGGGCUAGGUGUUGGGCGGGCUUUGAGCCCGCCCAGUGCCGCAGGGAAGCCGUUAAGCCCGCCGCCUGGGGAGUACGGCCGCAAGGCUGAAACUUAAAGGAAUUGGCUUUUAGCAC
rnacentral:rRNA from 1 species